rnacentral:rRNA from 1 species
AGCGGCAGGCUUAACACAUGCAAGUCGAGGGGUAACAGAGAGUGCUUGCACUCUGCUGACGACCGGCGCACGGGUGAGUAACGCGUAUGCAACCUACCUUUUACAGGGGAAUAGCCCAGAGAAAUUUGGAUUAAUACCCCAUAUUAUCUUUUUUUCGCAUGAAAUAAGGAUGAAAGUUUCGACGGUAAAAGAUGGGCAUGCGUCCUAUUAGUUUGUUGGUAAGGUAACGGCUUACCAAGACUUCGAUAGGUAGGGGCCCUGAGAGGGGGACCCCCCACACUGGUACUGAGACACGGACCAGACUCCUACGGGAGGCAGCAGUGAGGAAUAUUGGACAAUGGAGGAAACUCUGAUCCAGCCAUGCCGCGUGCAGGAUGAAUGCCCUAUGGGUUGUAAACUGCUUUUGUACAGGAAGAAACAUUUCCACGUGUGGGAACUUGACGGUACUGUAAGAAUAAGGAUCGGCUAACUCCGUGCCAGCAGCCGCGGUAAUACGGAGGAUCCAAGCGUUAUCCGGAAUUAUUGGGUUUAAAGGGUCCGUAGGUGGUUAUUUAAGUCAGAGGUGAAAUCCUGCCGCUUAACGGUAGAACUGCCUUUGAUACUGAUUAACUUGAGUUAUUGUGAAGUAGUUAGAAUAUGUAGUGUAGCGGUGAAAUGCAUAGAUAUUACAUAGAAUACCGAUUGCGAAGGCAGAUUACUAACAAUAUACUGACACUGAGGGACGAAAGCGUGGGUAGCGAACAGGAUUAGAUACCCUGGUAGUCCACGCCGUAAACGAUGGUCACUAGCUGUUUGAUUAACAUUGGUUAAUUAAGUGGCUAAGCGAAAGUGAUAAGUGACCCACCUGGGGAGUACGCUC